rnacentral:rRNA from 1 species
UAGGGAAUAUUGGACAAUGGGGGCAACCCUGAUCCAGCCAUGCCGCGUGUGUGAAGAAGGCCUUCGGGUUGUAAAGCACUUUCAGUAGGGAGGAAGGCUCUAUGGUUAAUAGCUAUGGGGAUUGACGUUACCUACAGAAGCAGCACCGGCUAACUCCGUGCCAGCAGCCGCGGUAAUACGGAGGGUGCAAGCGUUAAUCGGAAUUACUGGGCGUAAAGCGCGCGUAGGCGGUUUGAUAAGUUGGAUGUGAAAGCCCAGGGCUCAACCUUGGAACUGCAUUCAAAACUGUCAGGCUAGAGUACGGUAGAGGGGGGUAGAAUUCCACGUGUAGCGGUGAAAUGCGUAGAGAUGUGGAGGAAUACCAGUGGCGAAGGCGGCCCCCUGGAUCGAUACUGACGCUAAGGUGCGAAAGCGUGGGGAGCAAACAGG